GACGAACGCUGGCGGCGUGCCUAAUACAUGCAAGUAGGACGCAGUUGCGAACGGGUGAGUAACGCGUAGGUAACUACCUAUUAGAGGGGGGUAACUAUUGGAAACGUUAGCUAAUAGCGCGUACUAGUAGAUGGACCGUCGUUGUAUUAGCUAGUAGGUAGGGUAAUGGCCUACCUAGGCAAGGAUACAUAGCCGACCUGAGACGGUGAGCGGCCACACUGGGACUGAGACACGGCCCAGACGCCUACGGGAGGCAGCAGUAGGGAAUCUGCGGCAAUGGGGGGAACCCUGACCGAGCAACGCCGAGUGAGUGAAGAAGGUCUUCGGGUCGUAAAGCGAUGUUGUUAAGGAAGCGGUACUUAAACAGAAAGGGACGGCUAACUACGUGCCAGCCGCCGCGGUAAUAC
rnacentral:rRNA from 1 species